GCAACAUCUAAACCCUUGAAAGGAUCCUGAGAGAGGGGGGAAAGGGAAAACAGCAGCCACCAGCCCAACCACUUGUGUCUUCUGCCCCUCCCCACCUAUCUUGCCCACCCCACCAGCCCACGCUGCUUGGGACUUGAAAUCUGUGGCCGAAGGACCGUCACCACAUAACUUCAAAAAUAAUCAACCACCCUCCCUACCCAAACCCACCCAAUCUCACUCAUCCAGCAUUUCCUUUUUGGAGUCCACUCAGAAUUUUUUUCAACGACCCCCUCUCCCUAAUGGAGUUGGGUGGGGGGAAAAUGAAAACUGAGUUGGUCUUUACUUUUUUAAGAGACUUUUUGAUCCAAUGAGGCCCCACAAGUAACUGAGUUUGGGUCCUGGUUGGUUGUUUUAUUUUUUUUCCUCCAAAAUUUUACCCCUCCCCCCUGAGCCCGAGGUGCUGACGUCGCAAAAAAAUUGGAUAGUAAGUGUCGAAUUUUCAAAAACCAGCCUUGAACAAGAAAUCAACGUUUCCCGUUGUGAAACCAAAAAUAAUGAGAGGAAGAAAUGAGACCAUAGAACAAACGUAGAGUACUGGAGAAGGACCAAUCGGGUCUCUUAAAUCUCCA
rnacentral:lncRNA from 1 species